GACGAACGCUGGCGGCGCGCCUAACACAUGCAAGUCGAACGGAGCGUACUGUGUGAAGCCCUUCGGGGUGGAACUUUGUAUUGCUUAGUGGCGAACGGGUGAGUAACACGUGAGCAACCUGCCCUAGAGUGGGGGACAACAUUUGGAAACGAAUGCUAAUACCGCAUAAGACCACGGUGUCACAUGACACAGCGGCCAAAGGAUUUAUUCGCUUUAGGAUGGGCUCGCGUCUGAUUAGCUAGAUGGUGGGGUAACGGCUCACCAUGGCGACGAUCAGUAGCCGGACUGAGAGGUCGAUCGGCCACAUUGGGACUGAGAUACGGCCCAGACUCCUACGGGAGGCAGCAGUGGGGAAUAUUGGGCAAUGGGCGAAAGCCUGACCCAGCGACGCCGCGUGGAGGAAGAAGGUUUUCGGAUUGUAAACUCCUGUCUUCGGGGAAGAUAAUGACGGUACCCGAGGAGGAAGCCACGGCUAACUACGUGCCAGCAGCCGCCGUAAGAC
rnacentral:rRNA from 1 species